ACAAGCGGAGGAGCAUGUGGUUAAUUCGAUGAUACGCGAGGAACUUACCUGGGCUCGAACGUAAGAUGACUGUAGGUGAAAGCUUACAUCUCUUCGGAGCAUUUUACGAGGUGCUGCAUGGUUGUCGUCAGCUCGUGCCGUGAGGUGUCGGGUUAAGUCCCAUAACGAGCGCAACCCCUACCUUUAGUUGCCAUCAGGUUAAGCUGGGGACUCUAAAGGAACUGCCUACGCAAGUAGUGAGGAAGGCGGGGAUGACGUCAAAUCAGCACGGCCCUUACGUCCAGGGCUACACACGUGCUACAAUGGCCGAUACAGAGGGCAGCUACCUGGUGACAGGAUGCAAAUCUCCAAAGUCGGUCUCAGUUCGGAUCGGAGUCUGCAACCCGACUCCGUGAAGUUGGAUUCGCUAGUAAUCGCGCAUCAGCCAUGGCGCGGUGAAUACGUUCCCGGGCCUU
rnacentral:rRNA from 1 species